GACGAACGCUGGCGGCGUGCCUAAUACAUGCAAGUAGAACGCACAGUUUAUACCGUAGCUUGCUACACCAUAAACUGUGAGUUGCGAACGGGUGAGUAACGCGUAGGUAACCUGCCUGGUAGCGGGGGAUAACUAUUGGAAACGAUAGCUAAUACCGCAUAAUAUUGAUUAUUGCAUGAUAAUUGAUUGAAAGAUGCUAUUGCAUCACUACCAGAUGGACCUGCGUUGUAUUAGCUAGUAGGUGAGGUAACGGCUCACCUAGGCGACGAUACAUAGCCGACCUGAGAGGGUGAUCGGCCACACUGGGACUGAGACACGGCCCAGACCCCUACGGGAGGCAGCAGUAGGGAAUCUUCGGCAAUGGACGAAAGUCUGACCGAGCAACGCCGCGUGAGUGAAGAAGGUUUUCGGAUCGUAAAGCUCUGUUGUAAGAGAAGAACGGGUGUGAGAGUGGAAAGUUCACACUGUGACGGUAUCUUACCAGAAAGGGACGGCUAACUACGUG
rnacentral:rRNA from 1 species